UAAAAAGCUCGUAGUCGGAGGUGUGUCUCGGACGGUCGGUUCGCCGCUUGUCGGUGCUCAACUGGCCGGUCCGGACGUCCUGCCGGUGGGGCUGUAAAAGGCUCCGUUAUCCUUCUUUGGUCCUCUUCACUGAGUGCCUUGGUGGGCCGGCACGUUUACUUUGAACAAAUUAGAGUGCUCAAAGCAGGCCGUUGGUCGCCUGAAUACUGUGUGCAUGGAAUAAUGGAAUAGGACCUCGGUUCCAUUUUGUUGGUUUUCAGAACUCGAGGUAAUGAUUAAUAGGGACGGACGGGGGCAUUCGUAUUGCGACGUUAGAGGUGAAAUUCUUGGAUCGUCGCAAGACGAACCGAUGCGAAAGCAUUUGCCAAGAACGUUUUCGUUGAUCAAGAACGAAAGUUAGAGGUUCGAAGGCGAUCAGAUACCGCCCUAGUUCUAACCAUAAACGAUGCCAGCUAGCCAUCCGCCGAAGUUCCUUAUAUGACUCGGCGGGCAGCUUCCGGGAAACCAAAGCUCUUGGGUUCCGGGG
rnacentral:rRNA from 1 species